rnacentral:rRNA from 1 species
CAGUCGCCGCGGUAACACGUAGGGUGCAAGCGUUAAUCGGAAUUACUGGGCGUAAAGGGAGCGUAGGCGGCGUGGUAAGUCAGAUGUGAAAUCCCGGGGCUCAACCCCGGAACUGCAUCCGAUACUGCCAUGCUAGAGGAUUGGAGAGGUAGCUGGAAUUCUUGGUGUAGCAGUGAAAUGCGUGGAGAUCAAGAGGAACACUCGUGGCGAAAGCGAGCUACUGGACAAUAACUGACGCUGAGGCUCGAGGGCCAGGGUAGCGAAAGGGAUUAGAUACCCCGGUAGUCCCUGUCUCUUAUAC